rnacentral:tRNA from 1 species
GCCGCGCGCUGGGCGCGGGCUGGUCUCCAAAACCGGCCUCGCCAGGUUCGAUUCCUGGGCGGU